AUUCGGGAGCGACAGAUAGGGUCAGGCAGAGAGAAAAUGGUAGAGAAAUCUCUCUGUUCUUUUCUCUCUCGCGACCAUCAGCGCAUCUCUCUCAAAAGGAUUCCUCUAGGCAAUCUCCGAUCCUUAACCUUCUCCACUCUUCUUCCUCGGCAAGUAUUUCUCUGUCGCCAUCAGCUGCUUACUCUUGGCGGUUGCGCCUCUUGACCUCGUAAAGUAUAACGUGUGACGCGUGUAAGUUCAUAUACUUUGAGACAAUUUAGAGCUGAUCUGCAAGCAUGAUAUCCCCAACCAAAGGACUGAUGGGGCAAACGUCACCAAGGUGGUGUUGGUUUUGCAUUUGUCUUACUCAGCUGACAAGAACGUUAAAGAAGCAAGCUUAGCUGCUCAGUGUGGGCAUCAAUGAUGUAUACGAAGAUUUUCCAGGACUGUAAGUUAUUUUCCGCAUUUAGAUCUAUGUAGUCUUAUAUGGUUUAAUUAAACCCUAACUAAUCCACGAGUUUCCAAGUUAACCGUUCGUCUCCCUUCUGCUGCUGCCCUUGUGCGGCUGGCGUCGGGUGACUGAUUAAUUGAGCAAGAGAAAUUAGUUUUGUCUCAUACUGGGACCUCUAAUAUUUUAUAGGAUAACAAAAGGAUUAAAGGAAUGUCUAAGCUGCUUCGAUGACCUCUCAGUCUAAUUGAGGAAAUUUACAGAAUGGUGCAAUCGGGGUUU